rnacentral:lncRNA from 1 species
AGGUGCAUUGUGAACUGAGGGUGGUGAAGUGAACAACAAAACAGUGUGGCUUCCUCUCAUUUUCCCAACAUUUUGAACUCUCAAGUGGAUAUCAAAUCCCAACUUGCUGCAGCCUUGCUCAUUAACAGCGUCUUCUCUGUACCAGGAGGUCCAUGGAGAAGAAUUUCCUUAACAUGCUUGAUACCAAGCCUGAAAAGCAGUUUCAUCCCAAAGCCAAGGCCAUGUCAGUAAGUAAUUUUAAUACACUAUUUCUUCAAGAAAUAGACUUAAGUUCUAAUGAAAACAGAAGGAAUUUUGUUUUUCAGCAAAAAAAUUUCAUACUUGCUUGUCACAUGGGGAGGGAAAACCCUGGAAGCAAAAGCUCUUCGAAAAAUAUCAGAAAACUCUGCACUCAGACCACCUAUACCCAAUGAUUCAAAAUUGAAUUAUUUCUGCAUAAAAAUUGAAAUCUGUAUUGAAGUCAGUUAGAGCAAGUAUCAAAUCAAAAGGAACUCCAAUAAACAUAAGGGAAGCCAUUUUCUUUGACAACUUAUGCCACUAGUAUAUUACUUAAAGACAGAUGUAACCUUUAUUCCAAUGGAGUUUGCGGCUUCAAAUAUAAUGUAUGUCAGCUGAGACCAUCCUUCUUUCAACAUUAGAUUUUUCUUGCCCCUCAACAGUAGCUUGAUUCAUAGUGACUAUAUAACCAUUGCCAUCAUACUCAAAUGUCACCUUUUGCCCAGUUGUCAUAAUCUGCAUAGGUAAAAUUAUCCAUACAUCAGUUACUUUCAUCAGAACUAGACUCGUAACAUCUACUGCAGCUUAACUGGAAAAACGGGGAGUUAGGGUUAGAACAACCGCUUUAUAUCAACUUCUAAUAUAGUGCUCCCUCCGUCCUCAUUUAUGUGAUGGUUUGACUGAGCACGGAGUUUAAGGAAGAAAGAAAGACUACCUUUCGUAAACCUGAGAGCAUUUUUCUUAAGGGGCAUGUCUGACUUAAGUGUCUGUUUUUAAUGUGUCUACCAGUGCCAAAAUGCAUUUGCUAAAGGUUGACUCUAAUACCAUGUAAAAAAGAUAUGAACACCCAAUCCAAAAUCUUAAGGCUUGGAGUAGUCCAAAACCUAUAAACCCCUUCGAAAGCAAUUUCUCACCCCAUGUGGGACAAAUAUAUAAUUGAACAGCUACAAAGAGAACCUCAUUCCAUAUUGUUAUUACAUAUUGAUUCCAACUGACACCCCAAGGCAUUUCCAUAUGUAUCUUGAUUAAUAAAGCAUAUAAUAGACAUGUAAACUGUAAAAUGAAUAAGUACAGCCAAGCUACUCAUUUAUGUGUCAGUCAUUUUCCUCAGUAGUCUCUAUGGCAUGAUUUCAUAGACAAAAGCAGUCAGCACAAGGAGGGGAGCAUAUUCAUAUAAUGUAAAAUUGAUUAUGAAAAAAAUAAAACAAAUAGACUAUGUUUAGUUUUCAUUGUUAGACUUCAAGGAUCAGGUCGCUAUUCAGCCUUAUCUUCCAAAAUUCUAAAGAAAGUAUACUGACAUGAAAAUCAUUCUUGAAAGUACAGAUAUGAAGAACCACACCAUAUGUGCUGCCCAAUAAGCUUUGUCAGGUAAAAGAUAAUAAGAGAAAAACUACUGAGAGCAGACAUCUUUAAGAGGAAACAGGGGGAUAGAGCCUUCACCUGAUUGGCAAAUCUCUUGCGAACUUGAUUAGCCAAAGAAACUGCAUCCACCUACAAAAGACAUAUCUGGUAAACUUACAAUGUUUACAUCAACAGAAGUAUUUGAACCAGAGUACUCUUGAUGCCUAAGCCAAAAGCAAAACCAGCUAAACUAGAAGAUGGAUAUAACACAACAAAAAUUUAAAAGAGCUGCAUGCUUUACACCAGACUUGCUACAAGCUGAAAGAUAUGGUACAACCAAAACUUCACCAGAACUGUUCUUUAAGGCUCUCUUAAAGCACGCUUAAUCCCUGAAACUUGGUUAGCCCAAGUUGAGCGCUUCGCCUUGCUUAAUUAGCGUGUUAGUGUAGAUUGUAGAAGUCAAGGUGUUGAGGCAUGUGCACCUUCACCAACGAGUUUUGUCUUUAAGGACACAACAACAUACCCAAUGUGAUCCCACAAGUGAGAUACAUCCCCAUAUAUAUAGUUAUAUCAUAGUUUUACCACUAUUUUGCCCAAAUAAUUAUUACUGUAUUUGUUUUUAUAGUCACAUUUUCUUGCAUUACAUUUAUAUUUUUUAUUUUCUCACUUGGCAUUUUUUCCCCAUAACGCCCACACUUCAAUCACGCUUUGCACUUAACGCUCCAACGGACUUUGGAGCUUUUUGCUUUUUUUCAGUUUUGACUACUCUGACAAGAAGAAUCUAACUCUUUCAAAGGGAAUAGAGCCAUUGCAUAGAACACUAGACAUUGUUGGCUGUAAAAAACUUGCGCCGAGACAUAGAAACACUGGACCGUUUUACCUGCUCCUCUUUGGUCCCUUUUUUCACAAACUCCAAGUCAAGGGUAAGUAAAGCAAGGUUGAAGUUCUCAGUUGGAACAAAUCUGCAAUUUGAAUAGUGAAAGGACUAAUUAACUUAUUUUAUUGAAAAAUUAGACGACAGUAAGCAAUAAUAUCUGAACAGUACUGAAGAACCUGCUAACGGAUAUAGCGUCUCCAGUGGAAAGUUUGGCAUAUCGUCUUUGAAUCGCAUUAAGACCAAGUUGACCAUUAGGAAUGGCGUCGUGGGCAGUGUUUCACAGUUAAGGCAAUACUAUAGUGCAUUAUCUUUGAUCAUUAAAAUGCUGCAGUACGAAUAUAAUAGACAAGCACAAAAAAUAGAUCACAAACUCCUUACGCUCAUCAGCAUUCAAUGGAAAAAUCUCUCCAAUAAUAAAAACAGAAACGGAAUAAAUUUGCAAUCUGAAAAUUAGGAAUAAGAACAGUAAUGAUUGAAAUUUAAAAGGAUAUACAAGAGUGAGAACAAAAGCAUCAGCGAUGAGUGCAUAAGAGAACUUGGAUCCCGGAACAGGAAAGUUUCUAAGAUCUGUAGGAGAACAAUAUGCGCAAUUGGUGUAAGCAAGAUCUUUCGCUGGCGUAGUAGUUACGUUCAUCGUCGUUGAUGGUACUCCUGCGGGAGGGCCGUAUCAAUUUUUGAAUAAAGAAAUUUUUGAAAUCUUGGUCUUUUGCUCGACUCUUAAGCGAGAAAAUGAUCAAAAUGGUCCUUAAUGUAUGACUUUGAUUCCAUUUGGUCCUUAAUGUAUGGAAUUAAUGGAAAUGGUCCUUUAUGUAUCAUAAAUUGUGAUCAAUUUGGUCCUUAACCCUAAAAUUAAUAUAUUUCUUUUUUUUUGCCGUCAAAAUAUGCGGAAUAUGUAAAAGAUGCGCUCGUUCAAGACUUUCCUUCCCCUGUUUCCAAAAAUUCCAAAAGGGCACAUUAAUUUUUUUUAUUAAAAAUUUCUGAGGUUAGGACUGCUUUAAAAAAUAAUGGGAAAUCGCUUCACGUGGAGCGAUUUCCCAUUAUUUUUUUUAAGCAAUCCUCGCCUCGGGAAUUUUUAAUAAAAAAAAAUUUAAACUUUUUUAAGAAAAUGGCUGCUAUAGCAACUAUUUCUAUUUUUUAAACGCUGCUCCAGCAGCGUUGUUAAAAAAAUAAAAUCACAAUAGCGAUUUAAAGAAAAAAGAAUUUUUUUUUGGAUCGGCAGCAAUUUUUAUGUUUUUUAAAGGAGUAAACGAAGUCAAUUUUGUCAGAAGAAAAUCGCUCCGUCAGGAGCGAUUUUGCCCUUUUGGUUAAAAAAAUUGAUGUGCCCUUUUGGAAUUUUUUGAAAUAGGGGAAGGAAAGUCUUGAACGAGCGCAUCUUUUACAUAUUCCAUGUAUUUUGACGGCAAAAAAAAAAGAAAAUAUAUUAAUUUUAGGGUUAAGGACCAAAUUGAUCACAAUUUAUGAUACAUAAAUGACCAUUUCCAUCAAGUUCAUACAUUAAGGACCAAAUGGAAUCAAAGCCCAUACAUUAAGGACCAUUUUGAUCAUUUUUCUCACUCUUAAGCAAAUGAAACGCGGGUUGAGUUCCAGAUCGGACCUGGGCUAUUGAACAUAUAUAGGCGAGAAGUUUCAGAUGGACUUGGCGGUUUGAUUAGCUAUUUGCAUGAAAUUUUAUAUAUAAAAUUACCUAAUUAUGCAUCUUUUUUAUGGUAUUUUCUAUUAUUUCUUACUAUUUUUAAAAAACUAUAAAAAUUUCUCACUUUUCGAAGUAAACUAUCACCCAAUUUUUUUUCUUUUUCACGCCUAAAAUUACUCCAACAUAUCACUAAUUAUCUCCAUCACUCUAUUUUUGAAUUUCAAUUUUUUUCUCUUUCCGAUUUAAGAUUGCAAAUUGUUGAAGAGUAGUUCUUCUUCAUCUUCUUCUUCAUCCAUUUUUUUCCUUUCCACUUUAUCAGGAAUCGAUUUUUAUUUUUUUUUUACUUUUUUAGCUUUUUCAUCUACAAAUUUAGUUGAAGAAGGAUGCAUCUUCAGCCUCAAUGUUGUUAAGUAUCUGCAACACUGUUUUAUAAAUAAAUCAGUGUAUAUCAUAUUCAUAGUUUUUUUGGUAUGUGAUACAUAACAAUAUAAAAUUGUCAACUCUUUUUGAAUCUGUUACGAUUUAGGAGAGAUUUGAGAGAAGAACAUUUGAAAUUUGAAUUGUUUGGAGCUGUUAUUUGGGAGAGACUGACAUCAAUUUGAUUUGCGUGAUUUGGGGACUUGACAUUAAAUUUUAUAUUUAAUUUCCUUUUUAAUCUCAACAAACUAGUUGUAUAAUUUAUCAAACGUGAUGUAUCCGAAAAAAUGAAUGUAUUCGGAUGACAUCGAUUUUAGGGGAUUUCUGUAAAUUUGAAAAGAGUAGGGAUAUGAUGUAAUUUGCUCCUUACACUAUGGGAUUCCUAAAAAAUGUACAUUUAUUCCUUUUUCUUUUUUACGUCUUAUUAAAUUAUAUUCUAUUUUUUCCUAUUUGUGUUUGGCAAAACCGCUAAAAAAAGCUUUUCAGGAAAGUGUGUUUAGAAAAAAAUAAAUUAUUUUUUGUUAAUUCAGUUGAAAAUUAUUUUUGAUUACCAUAUUUGAUUAACCUUUUUAUUAAAAAUGUUUUUGAAAGUCAAAUUACGAAAAAGGACAAAUAUGAUGAACUUUUACUACUAAAUUAGUGAAGAGAAAAAUAUUUUGAAUAUCAAUUAUGAAAAACUUAAAUUAAUAUAAUAGAUAAAUUAAAGAAAAUAUUAAAUAGUCAUACAAUAUUAACUAAUGCUUUAAAAUACUAUAAAGCAUUAAUCAAAUAACUUUAAAAAUCAUUCCAUAAACUAAAUCACUACACAUGUUAAUAAAUUGAUGAGGAUAUACAGAUAAAUAUGUACAAAUGAUAGGAAUGUUUGUGUAUUGCAAAUAAUUUUUUGCUUUUGUCUGUUUAAGAAGAGAGAUGUUUAGUUUCUUCUCACUCUUAGUUCUAUUUAAAAAUAAUAAUUUUACUAUUUGGUCAAACAACUUUAAUUUUUUGAAAAUAAAAUAAAAAAUCUCAUAAAAAAUUACAUGUGUAAACACUCUUUAACAGGCUUAUGAUUGCAGAAAAGAUUAACUAACCAUUGAUUCAAUUUUAAUCCAUAUUGUAUGAUAUAUCAAUUAUACCAGCAGUGAAAAGUUUAUCAACAAUACCAUAUGAAUAUCCAUAAUAUUAGACUAUCUCAGGACUAGUGGUUUAUCAGCAAUGCCACAUGAAUAUCCAUAAUAUUGGACUAUCGACUCUUACAUGUGAAAGUUGGAUUUUGUCUACAAAUAAUCUUAUAUAUGUAUUUACUACUUUGUAUAGUUAAAGGUAGGGCGCCAUUCGAAAGCAAUUUUACAAUAACUAUUAAUAACAAAUCUAAUGUAACAUCAUAAAGUAUGAUCUCGAGAUGGUAUAGAGUUACGUUGACCUUCUUUUUAUUUAAUAUAAUAAAAAAUACUACAUAUAUUAAACCAUGGAAAUGGGUCGAAAAUAAAAUGGAAGAGAAAUAAUAACAAAAUAAGAAAUUUCAUACAACUUUAAUAUUUUGGUUCUUCUAAUAAGUUGGACACCUGACAAAAUGAGAUUCUUUGUUACAAUUGCCUCAAUAAUUUCACAAUUUCUAUUUUGUGAAAAAAGAACUAAAAAUAAUUAAGGACCAUGAAGAUUUCUUUAAAUCCUCACCGUCAAGGAAUGUUUCGAAUCUCCUAUAUGUAGCACAUGUAAUCCUAAAAUAACUUUCAUGUUUCCAACUUCAUACACUACACUCAAAUGCUUGCAAGCAUCUAAGUUGAACUUAAACAACUCUUCACCUUGUGGUGUAAAAUGAAUCUUUUGGAAAUCCAACAAGUGCUUUUGAGGUGCAUUGUGAACUGAGGGUGGUGUAGUGAAUAACAAAACAGUAUGGCUUCCUUUCACUUUCUUGACAUUUUGAACUUUCAAGUGGAUAUCAUCAACAAUAGAGAGGAAAAAACUCUUUUUAUCAUGAGUAGGAGUCUUGUAAGGAUCCCAUACAUCAAGAUGUAUCAAUUCUAAGGAAAAUGACUUCUAGAGAAGCUAGUUGGAAAUACCAAUCUACUUUGCUUAGCUAAUGGACAUACUGGGCAAUCUGUAGUUGCAAAACUAUUUGAGUCUGUUUUCUAAAUCAACCCAAGUCUCUUCAUGACUUGUAAUGAAGGAUGACCUAGUCUUUGGUGCCAAAGUUCAGUAUCCCCUGCUUUAACUGAAGAAAGUUUGGCACUAUUAGUUGAGUACACAUCAUGAGACUUGACAAUGUACAAGAUUCCUUCCUCUUUACCAAUCCCCCUCACCCUACCAUUGUAAAGAUUCUGAAAUAUACAAAAGUUAGGGAAAAUGUGACAGAGCAGGACAUGCUCUUGGUUAGUUUGGAAACUGAUAUCAAGUUGAAUUUAAAGUCUGGGACACAUAAAACAUUGUCAACCUUCAGGCCUUCUAGGAACUCAGUAAUUUUCUAUAUGAGUGAUAUUAGACUUUCCACCAUUUGGUAAGUGAAUCUGUUGAUUACUAGAACAGUGAAUCUCAAUUGGAUCAUUUAGCAUGCCCAGAUUAGAUGCAACAUGAUGAGUGGCACCAGAAUCUAUGAUCCAUUCCUUUGAACUUUGAAGAGAAUGCAGUUAAUAGAGAUGUAACAGUACCUGCCAGGUUGUGCUGGUCUAUAUGCUCAUUCUUAUCAUUCAUCAUUUCCUGAAUCUGCUUGUAUUGUUCAUCUGAAAACAUAGGACCACUUCUCCCAUAUAAUUGUUCCAGUUGUUUGUAUUGUUCAUCUGUGAAGGCCUGAUUACCAGCUCCAUUCUUCAUUGAGCAGCUCCCUUCAUUUUCAACUGCAUAGUGUCUCCUAUCAUCACUCACAACAUUAUUUGCAUUGAAGUUCUCCUAUCUCUCAAAAUGUGGAUUGUAUUGUUUGUUGUUAUUAUUUGCAGCAUAGUUCUUCUUCCUGAAGUCAUCAUCAGGAACCCUUUUUUGUUCUUCUGGACGACCAAUUAACCAGUAGCAAUCUGCUUUCACGUGUCCUCCUCGUCCACAAUUAUCACACUUGACAAAGGGCUUCUUACCUCUAUAAGGUUGGCCUCUAUUGAUUUUCAAGGCAAGAGGUUCAUGGACAUGAUCUUUGGCUUUCAUCUUCUCUAAGCAUUGCAUAUGCUUGAUUUAGUGAUGGUUCAACAGUUUUGAGCAACAAUUGCCUGCGUACUUGCUCAUAAGAGUCAUUCAAACCAUUAAGAAACUGCAGUAAUCUCUGGCCCUGUAAGUGUUUAAUGUAAUCCCUAGAUUUCACGUAAUUACAUCCAGGUGUGGGAACCACAUCAUCAUAUUCAGCCCAAAGUUCUCUCAGACUUGUAAAAUACGUAGAUACAGAAUCAGUUACUUGUGAUAUCGUCGCGAUCUCUUGAUGUAACUGGAAAAUUCAAAUUCUAUUUACCUUAUCGAAUCUCUUCUUCAGAUCCUCUCAUACAAGAUGCGCAUUUGACGAAUACACGAUCCUACUAAGAAGAUGUGCAGAAACUGUAUUCAUGAUCCUGGACAGGACAAUUGCAUUGCAGGUCUCCCAAUCUUCAUGUAGAUCAGUACCGAAUUGAUCCUUCUUACAGGUCCCAUUAACAAAUCCCAAUUUUCUUUUUGCUAGCAAGGCAAUCGUCAUAGAUCGUCUCCGUAACCCGUAAUUUUUAGAUCCGGUUAAUUUUGUGGGAAUUAACACUGAUUCUGGAGUAUCUGACGGAUGAACAAACAAUAAAUGAAUGUGUAUUAUUAAUUUUCUCAGCAGUUACCUGAGUCUGUCGAUCUUCAGCUGCUUUUGUUCAUGAGUUUCCAGCCAUUUGUAAUCGCAAUUGAAAAUCCUAUUUGAUUUGAGCGUAUGAUCCAAGUCACGACUGCUCUGAUACCAUGUCAAUUUUCAUACUUAGCUUGUGAGUUCAAGCUCUAUUUUAAUUUUGUGGGAAUUAACACUGAUUCUGGAGUAUCUGGCGAAUGAACAAACAAUGAAUGAAUGUGUAUUAUUGAUUUUCUCAGCAGUUACCUGAGUCUGUCGAUCUUCAACUGCUUUUGUUCAUGAGUUUCCAGCCAUUUGUAAUCGCAAUUGAAAAUCCUAUUUGAUUUAAGCGUAUGAUCCAAGUCACGACUGCUCUGAUACCAUGUCAGUUUUCAUACUUAGCUUGUGAGUUCAAGAUCUAUUAAUGGCGGAAGUGUGUUUGAGAGAAGAUAAAAAGGAGAAUAUUAUUUCGUAUUGGUCUAACUCUUCUGUACAACCACAUGCAAGUAUUUAUAGUGUGAUCAACUAAUCAUCACCACUAGAUACAGCUCAGCAUCAAAGUCAGUUAUUAGUCUAACUAACUUUGAUCUUCCACUAACUAAGGCUAACAACUAAUUAACAAAAAAGGUCAGCCUAACUAACUAACUAACUUCCUUCAAUACGGAUAUAUUGAUUGUUUUGGUAAACAACUGUAAAAGAUUACCAUUACCAUCAAAAUUCGUACAAAUAAAGAGCACCUAUGCCUUGUAACAAGGAUUAGGCCUCCUACAAAGCAAAAAACUUAAUUACAAAGUAAAAGUUGAACAAAACUCCUACAACUCUGUGUUUUCUUUGAACUACUAAGAAAUUAUAAUCUCUCUAUAAUCUCCUUUUUGAUCUGUGUUGCCGCCUCCUUUAUAUGUACAGACUUGCCUUUGAACUUUUUCCAAUUCCUGGCUCUCCAUAUGUGAUAUACGAUUGCUCCACAAGUAGCCGCAAUAGUCUCCUUCUUAACUUUCUUCCAGUGCUUCAACCUUAUUCUUUCCAGUGUCUGCUUGAUCCCAUUGAUUUGCAACGCUAUUCCUGUCCAUUUUUCCACCUCUUUCCAUAUAGCCUGUGCCCACUCACACUUCACAAAUAAGUGUAUUGUAGUCUCCAUGACCUUCUUAUCACAAAGGCAGCAAUCAGUGUCCUCCACCUGAAUGUGUAAUUUCAGUUUCCUCUCCUGCGUGAGUAAUCUUCCUUGUACAGCCAACCACGUUAUGAAUCUAUGUUUAGGUAGAGCCAUAGAUGUCCACGCUAGCUCAGCAGUUCUCAUACGUGGUUGUUGGCCAAUCAGUGCUAAGUAACUGCUAGUGAUGGAAUAUUUUCCAGUUUGUGUGAGCAUGUAUCUUCCUUGGUUAUACCAACCCCGCAUUUGGACCUUGAUUGCAUUUAGCUGCCUCCAAUACCAGCUACAAUCUACAGGUGUAUUAUGUUUCCAUAUUGUUGCUCCAUCUUUCAUAUAUAUCCCAUGUAUCCACUUUACCCAUAGGGACUCCUUUUCCUCAAUUAUUGCCAUAACAAUUUCCUACUGAUGCAAUAUUCCAGAUGCUGCUACUUUUGAUAUUUAAUCCACCUUGUCUCUUUGGAUAACAGAUUUUUUCCCAAGAUACUAGAGCUAUCUUUCUCUUAUCAUUAGCUUUGCUCCACAAGUAAGUCCUACAAAUCUUGUCUACUUCUUUAAGUAUGCUUUGGGGUAGGAUAAACACUGCCCCCCAAAAACUAUGGAUGGAAAAUAAUACUGCAUUUAUCACCUGCAGUCUACCAGCAUAGGAUAGUUGUUUUGAAUAAGUCACGGUAAUUCUGUGAGUAAUCUUAUCAAUCAGUAAGAAGCAAUCAACUUUAUUCCACUUUCUUGGCGAUAGUGGAAGUCCCAAAUAUUUAAUAGGAAAUUCACCCCUCGAGAAACCGGUUCUAGCCAAGAUCUGAUCCCUUGUUUCCUCAUCCACACCAGCCAUAAAAACACUUGAUUUUUCCAUGUUAGCCUCCAAACCUGUGGCAGCACUAAAGAGAUUUAAUGCCUCCAUCACUCUAUUUACUGAAGCCAAAUUUCCUUUACAAAAAAUCAUUAAGUCAUCAGCAAAUAUUAGAUGAGUGAGUUUCAACUCUUUGCACAUUGGAUGGAGUCCAAAAUCAGGCAACAGACUCAUUGUUUUAAGUGUUCUUGACAAGUACUCCAUUACUAACACAAACAACAAAGGCGAUAUAGGAUCUCCUUGCUUAAGACCUCUCUUACCAGCAAAGAAACCAUGAUUCCCUCCAUUGACUUUUACUGAAAACAUUGUAGUGGAAACACAUAGCAUAGUCCACUUAAUAAACUUUUCUGGAAACCCAAAACCUCUAAGUACUUCCUCUAAAACCUCCCAACUUACCAUGUCAUAGGCUUUCUUCAAAUCAAUUUUCAUAAGACACCUAGGUGAGGCAUUCUUCCUAUUGUAGUGUCUUAGAAUAUCGUGACAAAUCAAAACAUUAUGCAUCAUUGCUCUUCCCUGGACAAAUGCUGAUUGGUUUUUUGCUACUAUCAGAUUCACUGCUUUCUUCAAUCUGCUACAAAUCAAUUUUGAUAUGCACUUGUAUAUGACAUUACAACAAGAUAUUGGUCUAAAUUGACUGGCAAAUUCAGGUACCUCUAUCUUUGGGAUGAGUGCAAUACUUGUUGAAUUGAUUUGUCUUAGUAACUUGCUGUUUUGGAAGAAUUCCAGCACUGGCGUAGUAACAUCUUGCCCCACAAUAGACCAAGCUGCUUUGUAAAAUCCACUACUAAAUCCAUCUGGUCCAGGACUUUUAUUACUAUCAAUCUGAAACAUUGAUGUCUUUACUGCUGCUGGUUCAAACCUAUGCACUAGUUCACUCUGUUGCUCCUCAUUAAGCACCACCCCAUGACUCAUCAAUUCUCCUAUUGCUGGUAUUCUCUGCAGGGACUUCUUUCCCAGGAUAUCCUCAUAAUAUUCCACAAUUACUUUUGCAAUACUAGUAGGAUCAUAUUGCCAUUCUCCUGAUGAAUUUUUCAGUUGAGUUGUAGCAUGCUUCAGCUUCCUAUGCUUAAUAACUGAAUAAAAGUACCUAGUAUUAUCAUCACCCAACCUUAUCCAUGUUGCUUUGCUCCUUUGUUGUAAAAAUACUUCAGCCAGAUAAGAAGAGGUUCUAAAUUUCUCAUACAACUGGCUUUCCAACUGUUGAUAAUCCAAGUUGUGCGGGUUACUCUGCAAUUGUAGUUGUGCUUGUUUCCGUUUUUCUCUAUCUCCAUUGGCUUCAUUCACUAUGUUCUGGAAAGACUGUGAGUGUAGCACCUUCAGCUUUCUCUUUAACAACUUCAAUCUUCUCACCACUUUGUACAUCAUACAACCUUCUAUAUUUUCAUCCCAUCCUUCAUUCACAACAGAUUGGAAUUGUCAACGUUUGGCCCGCACAUUACAAAACUGAAAUGGCUUCCUGGUUCUGCAUUCUUCUGUUAAGAUUACUUUUGCUGGACAGUGGUCACUAAUGUUAAGAAUUCAUCACCAACUUAAUUCUUUACUUAAGAUAAAUCAAGAAAAAUCUAGAAUAUUCCGGAGGUGUAGAGAAUUGAAGGAAGAUCUCUAGAAUGAGUAUUCUAGAAAGAAUAGUCUAGAAAUGUUCUAGAAAGAAUAGUUCUAGAAAAAGAUAGUUAGGAAUAUUCUAGAAUAGAGUAGUAUGUAUCUCUCUAGAUUCUUCCAUCACCUCCUAUAAAUAGAGGUGGUCCAUUUGAGUUGUACGCAAUCAAGAAAGAAAGCAAGAAACAAAGUAAGAAAGCAAGAAAGAAAGUAAGAGAGAAAACAAGAGUGAGUGCUAAGUCAAGAGUGUUGCUGAAGCAAGCAACAAGUGUGAUCAAGAUUGUAAGACCGAAGCGGGUCCUUACUUUGAUAUAAUAAAAUUCAAGUUGUGAGAAAUCNNNNNNNNNNNNNNNNNNNNNNNNNNNNNNNNNNNNNNNNNNNNNNNNNNNNNNNNNNNNNNNNNNNNNNNNNNNNNNNNNNNNNNNNNNNNNNNNNNNNNNNNNNNNNNNNNNNNNNNNNNNNNNNNNNNNNNNNNNNNNNNNNNNNNNNNNNNNNNNNNNNNNNNNNNNNNNNNNNNNNNNCCAUUUGAGUUGUAAGCAAUCAAGAAAGAAAGCAAGAAACAAAGCAAGAAAGCAAGAAAGAAAGUAAGAGAGAAAACAAGAGUGAGUGCUAAGUCAAGAGUGUUGCUGAAGCAAGCAACAAGUGUGAUCAAGAUUGUAAGACCGAAGCGGGUCCUUACUUUGAUAUAAUAAAAUUCAAGUUGUGAGAAAUCGAUUGUGCCCGUCGUCUCCAAACCAAUAAUAUUCAACAAUUAAUACCCUCAGGUAAGAAUAACGCCUUACAUGUAGGCAUUGCAUCUAGCCAUUCUCUGUUAAUAAAAAUCCAAUCAAUUUUUGAAAAUUUUUUGUUUCCAUCAUGUUUAUCACUCCACGUAUAUCUACUACCAUGAGUAGGAAAUUCUAUCAAACCACAUUCAAGAACACAUUCAUUGAACUCCAUAAUUUCUGCCCAAACUACUGGAUUUCCUCCUAUUCUAUCAUCAGUCUUCAGUAGGGAAUUGAAGUCACCUAACACCAUCCAUGGUUUUGUACAUUUUAGACUUUGGAGUAUCAGACUUUCCCAUAAAUCCCUCCUAUCUUCCCUGCUAUUAAAAGCAUACACAUAUGUUAUCUCAAAGGAGAGUUGAAGUGGGAUAAACACUACCUCACAUGUUAUCAGUUGUGUUGUUUUGUUGAUGGGUUUUACACAAUAGUAGUCAGGAUUCCAUGUCAGCCAUAUUCUACCAUUGUAGUGAUUUUCCAAGUUGGUAGUGUACUACCAACCUGCAAACAUACUCGCAGCCACAAGUUCUAUUCUUCCACUCUUUAUUUUAGUUUCUAGUAAGCCAACCAGACUCACAUUUUCUUCAUUGCAAAGGAUCUUCACUUCCUUUUGCUUAUUGGGAGCGUUAAGCCCCCUUACAUUCCAGCUAGUAAAUUAACCACCAGACCCUAUUAUGGCCUGGCCACCCAUAAUCACUCUACUCCUUCCUUUUUCAUUAUUGUUCUGCAAUAUUUGAUAGGAAUUUGCACUUUCAAUCUGAGUUGAUCUUCUUGGAGGUGAUAUCUUCCCUGCUCGUGUAGGAGUUUGCCAUCCUUCCUUUCUACUGUUUAUCUCUUCAUCACUCUGUUUUGCUCUAGUGUUACUCACUAUCACUAUCCCUUCUUGUCGUGCUACAACUACUUUAGCUAGUUGUUGAUUAGGACUAUUUUGUACCUGUACAUUUACCCUGUCUUGUGGCAAUGGAACAGGUUUGGGAACCUUUCUCUUCACUCUACAUACCUCCUCCUCAUGACCAUAUUUAUUACAAAACUUGCAUAGUGUUGGUUUCCAAUCAUACUGAACCUGAUGCACAAUGAUUUUCCCUUUUUCAUUGAUUGUUAUUUCGGCUUAAUUUAUCUUGAUGAAUUCAUUGCGUGUGAUUUCCUGAAGAAGUAUAUUUUGUGGAUUCACAGUGAUUUGUGAAGUUGAGUGGUUUUGGACUUUCUGACUAACUUCUAGUCAUAUGCACUUAGAAGGAUACCAGGUAUCAGGUAUUUAAGUCGAGAUUACACUAAACAAUGAGGUGAUAUUUUUUAUCAGAUCAUUCGUACUAGAUUUUAGAAUACUUAUAUAUGUAAUCUAAUUAAAUGUUUUCUUAGCCCCCAUAGUAUAUCAAUUAAUAACAUUUUGAGUCCUAUAUUUAUCUUUUCUUUAUUUGUCCAUUUUCAUCACAUUUGUUUUAAUAUUUUUAUAUCUAUAACUCAUUUAUUUAUUUUCUACUCUUCUAUUUUCAUCUAUAUAAACUCAUAUUUUUGGUUUCAUAUGAUUCUAUCCAAGGAGCAAUCCUAUUAGAACGUGGAAAAGGAAUCCUUUUACAAUGACAAAACCAACAAAAAAAAGUAGUCCAAUUCUAUUAGGAAUCAAAUUCUAUUUCUUCAACUAUAAAAUAACUAGUUCGUUCCCCGGAACAAGCUUUCAUUAUGUUCUUUCUCUGGAUCACAGCCUACCAAACUAAAGUGACUUUGUUUGAUUUACUGCAAUCUGUCUUGCAAUGGAGGAAAUACUUAUAGACAUUUUGAAAAGGCCACUGGUGAAGUCACUUAUUCGUUUCAAUUGCGUCUCAAACUUUUGGAACACAUUAAUCUCUCAACCUUAUUUUAAGAAGAAGCAUCUCAAUCAUUCCAAAAGUCAAGUCAGUUCCCAAAAAUUGCUUUUUGUCCGGUGCGAUCCUAACUGUCAAUUCUGGUCUGGUUCCUUAUCCUUAAUUCCCAUUGAUUGCACUUCAAAUUCUAAUCCAAAAGAUGGUAUAAAAAUGUAUUCUAGUUGUGACGGCUUGUUUCUCAUCGGAAUUUGGACCGACCGUUAUGCCGAACAACCUUCCAUAUUAGUCAUAUGGAACCCUUCCACUAGACAAUCAAUAUGACUUCCCCAUUCUAAAUUUUCACUUCAGAUGGGAGAUCAACAUCACAAUCACAAUGAACAUAUAGAAAAUGACAACGAAAAUAUGGGAAAUUACUCUAAUAGUAUCAGUGAUGAUGAUGAUGAUAGGGGAUUUACUUAUGGAUUGGCUUAUGACUCUAAAAAUCAUGAACAGAUAGAAGAUGACGAUGAAAAGAUGGGAAAUUACUCUAAUAGUAUCAGUGACGAUGAUGAUGAUGAUGAUGAUAGGGGAUCUACUAAUGGAUUGGCUAAUAAUGACUCUAAAAAUUCAUGAACAGAUAGAAGAUGACGAUGAAAAGAUGGGAAAUUACUCUAGUAGUAUCAGUGAUUAUGAUGAUGAUAGGGGAACUACUUAUGGAUUGGCUUAUGACUCUAAACGUGAAGAUUAUAAAGUCUUAAUGAUUGACAUGUGUGGGAAUAACGACAAUGAAAUUCUCGCACUGAAAAAUGGUUCCUGGAAAAUAAUUGAUCGUAAAACCUCUGGCAGGACAGAUAGUGGUUUGUUGUGUGGUGGAGAACUUUUUGGCAUUUGUAGAUGGAGCAUUUCAUUGGCUUGGUUUCUUAUCAAAGGUUUGUGUGGUUUCAUUUAAUAUUUCAGAUGAAAUAUACGGAGAGAUAUCAUUGCCAGAGAUAGUAAGCUCCGAACUCACUCUAUUCAAGUUUGAUAACGUUGAAGUUCAUGUGGGACUAUCAAUAUUGAGAGAAAUGUUUCAUCGACAAAGAUUUUAGUUUAUGGGUAAUGAAAAAGUAUGAUAUUGAAGAUUCUUGGAUGAAAUUGUUCACUAUACCGAUUUUAGUUUAUGGGUAAUGAAAAAGUAUAAUAUUGAAGAUUCUUGGAUGAAAUUGUUCACUAUACCGAUGAAGUAUUACUGUGAAUUGGGUGACACCGGAACAUGUGGAAACAUCAUAGGUAUGUAAGAUAAUAUCUGGUGGCCAAUAUCGAAUGAUUUCUCAAGAUUAUGAUAUUGAUGCGAUUACAGUUAAUCGGGAGGGUUUUGCUUAUACCGAAACUCUCACGGACAUUAAAUUAUAUUAAAUGUUUAGGAAAUUUUUGGUUCCAAAUUGAUCUUGUUUUUUUUUAUUUACUAUUCUUUGCUAAGAAAGAAUUGAUCUAUAUUUUUCUUUUACCUGCUGUUUCUCUGCUGCUUUUAUCCGUAUGAAAGUUCCUUUUUUGUCGGGGAUUGUUUGAGUGAUUAGGAAAAAUAAUGUAUGCAUUAAUUUUGUGUAUUAUUAGUAUUUUGCGUGGUACUCUUUCAUAAUCUAUGUAUUAAUAGUUCCUUCUUUGUCUGGGAUCGUUUGAGUUAUUAGGAAAAAUAAUGCAUGCGUUAAUUUUGUUUAUUAUUAGUACCUUGUUUGGUUCUCUUUCCUAAUCUAUGUAUUAGUUAUUGUGUAUUAAGGUGGGCAUAUAUCAUGGAUUUCUAGGUAUUAGCAAUGCAAUGGUUUUUAUGCAUGCAUUAACUUAAUUAAAGACUCAAUGACCCCUCAAAACUUUUUUUACAUCUUUUCCACCAUAAUUGUGGAGGGCUUUGUGAAUAACGUUUAAUGUAAUUUUUCAACGAUACUCAUAAAACUAGAAUUCAACUUUAAGUAUACAAUGUAAUUUUUCGACGAAGGGAGUUCGAGUGACCCUCUUGAGCUCCACAUAGCUCCGACCCUGAGCCCAGGUUGAGCGCUUCACCUUGCUUAAUUAGCGUGUUAGUGUAGCUUGUAGAAGCCAAGGUGUUAAGGCAUGUGCACCUUCACCAACGAGUUCUGCCUUUGAGAAUACAACAACAUACCCAGUGUGUUCCUACAAGUGAGAUACAACACCAUAUAUAUAGUUAUAUUAUAGUUUUACCACUCUUUUGUCCGAAUAGUUAUUAUCUGUUUUUGUAGAUACAUAUUCUUGCAUUACAUUUGUAUUUUUUAUUUUCUCACUUGGCAUUUUUUCCCCAUAAAGUCCACACUUUAAUGGCACUUUGCACUUAACGGUUCAACUAUACUGGACUUCUUUACACACAUAUAUAUGGAGGUUGUAUUUUGUCUACAAACUAUAUAUAUAUAUAUAGUUAAAGGUAGGUACACCUUUUGAAAGCUAUUUUACAAUACUUAUUAGUAACAUAUUCAGUGUAAUAUCACUAAGUGUAGUCUGGAGAUAGUAGAGUGUUAACCUUCCUUUAAAUCAUUUCUAUUCAAUAUAUAGGGAUGUCAAGAAAAAUAAAAUAGCAGAGAGAAGGAAUAAUAACAAAAUAAGAAGCUUCAUACAACUUAAAUAUUGUGUUUCUUCUACAUAUGUUGAACACCUUGACAAAAUGAGAUACUUUGUUACAAUUGCCUCAACAUAUUGAUAAUUUGAGAAUUUCCAUGUGGUAGUUUCCCUUUUCCCUUUUGAGAAAAAAAGAAGUUAAAAUAAUUAAGGACUAUGAGGAUUUCUUUAAAUCCUCAGAGUCAAGGAAUGUUUCAAAUCUCCUAUAUGUAGCACAUGUAAUCCUAAAGCAACUUUCCUGUUUCCAACUUCAUCAACUACACUCAAAUGCUUGCAAACAUCUAAGUUGAACUUAACAACUCCUUCACUCUGUGGUGUCAAAUGAAUCUUUUGGAAAUCCAACAAGUGCUUUUGAGGUGCAUUGUGGACUGAGGGUGGUGAAGUGAACAACAAAACAGUGUGGCUUCCUCUCAUUUUCCCAACAUUUUGAACUUUCAAGUGGAUAUCAAAUCCCAAGUUGUUGCAGCCUUGCUCAUUAACAGAAUCAAUAGACUUGCACUUUGUCGAUCGACAAGCAUGUCCUUCCUCAAGAGGAAUGGACACAAAUUUUGGUGCUUUUACCAG